rnacentral:rRNA from 1 species
ACUCCUACGGGAGGCAGCAGUAGGGAAUCUUCCACAAUGGGCGCAAGCCUGAUGGAGCAACACCGCGUGAGUGAAGAAGGGUUUCGGCUCGUAAAGCUCUGUUGUUAAAGAAGAACACGUAUGAGAGUAACUGUUCAUACGUUGACGGUAUUUAACCAGAAAGUCACGGCUAACUACGUGCCAGCAGCCGCGGUAAUACGUAGGUGGCAAGCGUUAUCCGGAUUUAUUGGGCGUAAAAGAGAGUGCAGGCGGUUUUCUAAGUCUGAUGUGAAAGCCUUCGGCUUAACCGGAGAAGUGCAUCGGAAACUGGAUAACUUGAGUGCAGAAGAGGGUAGUGGAACUCCAUGUGUAGCGGUGGAAUGCGUAGAUAUAUGGAAGAACACCAGUGGCGAAGGCGGCUACCUGGUCUGCAACUGACGCUGAGACUCGAAAGCAUGGGUAGCGAACAGGAUUAGAUACCCCUGGUA